CUUGCUAUUUCAUCUUGCUUUUUUGUAAGUUAUAUUCCUUUGUUUCAAAUAGGUGAGCAUUGUGAUGUGGUUUGUUUACAUUUCUAGUAAAGCGUGGUUCCAUGAUUGCUUUGCAGUGAUCGGGAAUGAUCUAUUACAUAAUGUGUUAUCUUGAGUACGCGGAAUCAUUUUUUGUAACGUUAAGCGAAAAAAGCUUAUCAUCAAAUGAAUUUUGAACCAUCACCGUCAAAGUGGGUCGGACGUCGAGCGCCGUCAACGGCAGUGAAAGCCGCUGGUACGAAAUAGGCGAAGGUACAUCCAUCUGCGUUAAGCCUCAUUAUGGACUCCAUUAGGGUACUUUGCCUGCCGUGAUGUCUUCCCUUUCAGCGCUCCCUUUGUGUCCCACACAAAAAUGUUUGAGUGCUCUAAAGCUUUCAUCUUCAGUGGAUUAAAGAGCUUUUAGGACAAUUUGGUGUAAAAGAUUAACCCCUCCGUGACUGAAUUUACAUUGAACAAAUUACACGUCCCAAAAAAUUGGGGGAUUGCAGAAGUACCUGAAAAUAAUCAUCAUUUCAAAAAAGAAAUAUGUUGAAAAUUAAAUUUAAAAAAUACAACAAAAAAUUGGAAUAUACUAAAUUCAAAAUAAAAAAACAAAUGAAGGAAAAUAUAGAAAAAUUAUUUAACUAUAUUUUUAAAAAUGAAACUAAAAAAACAACUAAAAUGAAAGUGAAUAUAGAAAAAUAUAGGAAAUUAACUUAGAAAUAAUACAAUAAAACAUUUUUUAAAAUGAAAGGAUUUUGGGGGGAAAUUUUGAAACUCUUAAAAAGGAGGAAUUUAUUAAACUAUUCCUCCAUUUUUCUUCAUUAUUUAUUCAUAUUUAAUGAAAUAUAACGUCCCUGACAAAAGUCUUGUCGCUUAUCCAUUUUGUAGAAACAAUUGCUAAUAACCUGACUUUUAAUUAUUCAAUUGGUUUCAUAAAUGGCUCAUAUGAACGCUCGCACGCAAGACUGCUUUUUCUUUAUGUUCCUGAUGACUUGUUUGAACCCUUGCCGAACCGUAUGGAUGCAGUCCUUCAAGCCCGUGGAAGUCAUACAAAAUAUUAAAUUUGGAUCUCACAGCACCACUACUUAAUUCGCUUAUGUUAUGUAACAUAUUUUUGUAUUUGAAGUACAUUUUUUGUUCAAUUUUCACUCUACUUUCUGUAGGCGACAAAACUUUUGUCUUGCCAAAAUUUGACCUUUAUGUCUUUGUUAAAUGAUCAAUCUUUUUUCAGUGAAACAAAUACAUUUUUGUACAUUCAACAUCAUUUGGGAGGGUCUUAGCUUUCAUAUGAGCCAUUUCUGAAACCAAUUGAAAAAUUGAAAGUCAGAUUAUGAGCAAUUGUUUCUACAAAAGGGAUACGACUUUUGUCAGCGACUGUAUAUAACUAAACACAUUAUAUAAUCCAAAUAAGGUUGCUUAAAAGUUGGUGGGGACAUUUUGAGCCUCCUGAAAAGUUGCUAGUGUUUUGUCCCUACCGUCCCCCCUGCCCUGAAUAGCACUGAAACAUGAUCAUUUACUUGAUGUGCUGCAUUUUUCAUUUGAAAUGAAACCAAGCAUCCUCCAAAUCACUGUUAUAAAACUUUUGCAAGUCUACUUGGGAUCUGUUCUUUUUUCGACACUGCUGCUUCUUGCCACACACAUUUUUUCCCCCUAACUUUUGAACUAUGCCGCUCAACUUUUCAGCGCCGCCAUUUUUUUAUUCGUCUCUCGCGGCUUCCCGGAGGAAGCGCCGACGUCAAGUCUGUCGCUUCCAGAUUGCCGGCAGUUGAAAACGCGGCUUGACAUUUCUGUGUCAGCGCUGAAAACAA